UGCGCCUGCGCAACCGACUGG
rnacentral:misc_RNA from 1 species